rnacentral:lncRNA from 1 species
GAUUGAUCUUCCGCCAACUCACAAACCAGCCUCAUUUGAGGAGAGAACGUUGUCAGUGCCCCAGAAAGAAGCUAUGCUUCAGAAAGAACAUUUUACUUUGCAGAGCCAGUACAGAGAGAGAGAUGCUGGAAACUUGCAGCACAUGAAAGCUGUGAAUGGAAGGCAACUUACUUGUGGGGCUGAAGAGCCACAGGAGCAAGAGGGUCUUCAGCCUAUGUAUCCUGUUUAUCAGCAAACUCACUACAAAAAUUGGAGCAACAGAUACCCACAAAGCUCAGGACCUGGAAGAGCCUACAUCAAUACAAGGGAGCAUUAUGUAUGAUUCUGUACCCAGAUGUCUUUAACAAGGGGUUUGUUACCUGUUGACUCUAUGACCCUCAUAUCUUUUUGGCUUUCAUCUCUAAAAUAAUUGGGAGUUUUUAAGGUGUGAAAAAAAUAGAUGGAGAAUUUUAUACAGGUAAACCAUAUGGAAUUUAAAACCUGCCUCUAGUACUUGGUAUGUCUGUGUUUUUGUAGUAAUGUCAAUCUGCCAAAUGAGGAGAGCCACUUAGCUUUUUUAACGUUCACAGUCAUAAUCUGUGUAACCUGUAUUAAUUGUUUGGCACAUGCCAAAAUGUAGUUAAGCUUUUUUUGCUGGCUGUCUCUGGGAACAUUCUCUCUGGAUAUUUCACAAGAACCUUACCCAUAUAAAAGUGAAUAAAUAUGAGCAAGACAGCUGAAUCCCUUGUGACAUUAGCAGUUUCAGGCUGAGGCAUCUUAGCAACUUGAGAUAUGAAUUUGACUGGCUUAGCUAUUGAUUUCUCAACCAGCUCUACCUCUCUCAGUCAAAUGAACAACUAGACUACCUCUCAAAUACUGACUGCCUGGUCCAUAAACUCCACUGUUUGUCUUCCCAUCUUGUUAAAAGUGAAGCAAUUUCCUUACAUCAAAAGCUUUUGGUUGUCUAUUGAUUCUGCCUGUUGCUGGCUUUGGUUUUACACUUAGGUCUACAUGAAACUUAGUUGAAGGAGGUAGAUGACUAGGCAGACAGAACUUUCUGUAAGUGUCUUUUGUGAAGCUACAUCUGUUUUCCCAAAUAUGACUCCUAUUUUAGAUGCUGCAGAGUUUAUUUUCCUUGGUAAUAUAUACAUUCCUUGUUUUUUUCUUAGUUUACAACAAAACUGCCUGUGAUGUGUUCUUAUGUCUUAGCAAGAAAAGAAAAGCUUCAGUCAACUUCAAAUGCUUGUUAGCACUGUCCUUUAAUCUUAACCAGUAGUGUGAAGUAACUGGAGAAUGUCCUGACAUUACCAGUGCUAAAAGUAUCCCACAUGAAUCUUUUGUGUCUGUGGUAAUGCUUAAAAAAUGUGCUCAUGAUCUUUCUAGAAAAAUAAGUUUUCCUGUGAACUAAAAAGUAAAUAUUUAGCAAGUAAAAAUAUGUAUAUAAUGUGUUAGUGCUGAAAUGAGCUCAUAGGACAAUCUUGAAAUAUUUUAAGACAGUAGAAAAAUGGAUUGUGUCUAAAAUUUGCCAGAGAAACUUAAGAGACUUGAGUAUUCUCUAAGUACAUUAUGCACAUAAGUACAGAAUGAUGAUUUUCGGUCAGAUGACUUGAAGGACAAGAUGUUAAGAAUGCUUGGUGUCAUGCUGAACUACCUGUUGUACAGAACUGAAGAACUGAACAUUACUUCUGGGAUAUUAGUGUGUUUUUCUGCAGAUGUUUGAAUUUUUUUAGAGGCAAGAGUCAAGCUGUAGAAGCAGCAGAAUUGAAAGCUAGCAUAGGUGAGUGUGCUGCAGGCAGAGGGCUGUUGUUAAACCUUUAUUCAACCUGCAUUCAUCUCCAUCACAGUACAAGUUAAUGAGAUCUCUGUCCACAAUUGGGCCAGGUAAAUUAAAUUCUUCUAGUUUGUUACAGGUAGCAGCUAGAAGAUUAUGGCUUGGGUGCCUGUAUUCUGGACCCUGUAGAAGUAGGUAUUACCUGUUCUCUUGCUAAGCAGCUUUCUGUUAAAUGAUGUGGUUGAAGUUGACAGCUGAAGGAAUGGCAAAAAGAAAGGUUGGACAGAACCUGCUUCUUGGGAGGUAUCUUUGAAGCAUUGGCACCUUGCUUUUCUCUUAGGAACUGGGCACAUUCAUGUAAAUUGAGCAACUGUUUUCAAUUUUAAAGUUUCCUGCUGUAUUUGAGACCUAAGGAAGGGCUUGUGUCCCUCAAAACUGUUUUUCCGUAAUGUUAGUUUAAGUAGCUACCUCUUUACAUGAGCAUUGCCUCGCCUAUCCUUACAUUACUGCAGCUCCAAAAAGCAUCAGCUGUCAGAACAUUGAAAGAAAACAGUGUCAUGGCCAAAUGAAUGACAGAACAUGGAGAGGAACUAUACUGCUUAAGAUAAUUUGAUCAAUAUUACUGAGCAAAACUUGAUACCAAAAAUAUUUGAAUAGACAUUAUAGAAUGGCUCAAAACUGUUGCUGUGGCAGUGCUUCCUCUGCAUUCAUUAGUACAGUGUGGUAUUGAGCAGGUGAUCACUUCAAUCCUUUUUGCAAAAAAACCUUUUGGAUUCAGAAAAAAUUCUUCUACUGUUUUUAUAAUUAUUUGCAGAUACUUUCCUUUCUGGUUUGUUUUUGGUUUUGUUUUUUUUUUUUUUUGAAAGAGAUAAAACUUUAGGGGAAGGAAGAAAGCUAUUAACAAAGCUAUCUUUUUUUUUUAAUGUGUAAAAAUAGCUUAAAAAAUAAAAAUGUAAUCCAACUGUGUUGUCCAAGUUACAUAUCAACAAACUACAGAAAGCCUGAUUUGCAAACUACCCAUCAGGAUGUAGUUUGCCCUAAAGUCAUUAGGGAAAUACAUUACCACCAACAGGUUUGUUGUCUGUGAGAAAUGGUUUCUUUGUAAUCUAUUCAGGGACAUUUAGUAUAUUAAGUUUUUGAAAUGUUACUUUUGGUUUUAAGUGUACCUGAAUUUGGGGGGAGAGAUUUGUCAAAGAAUGCUCAGAAGAGAACAGAAAAAAUGUCUGCUAAUUCUCACUGAAAGGAUUGUACAUAUAGAAGUUUGAUCUGCUUUUAUAAGAUGUAGAAAAUGUCCUUUUAUAUUUUUGUACAUUUUUAAAUGCUUGUAUUUGUAAUUUGACUGGAAUAAAAACAUUCAAAAUAUAACAUUUUCUUCUGUUGUUUAGAUUUAAGAUUACUUAAAAUGUAAAGUCUGGUAAAAUGCAUCCACUUUUUUGGUGUUAUGUUUCUUCUGUGGUUGUAUAUGCAGAACGUAUUCUUUUUCCUAACUCUACCACUUUGGGAUAUUGUGGUGUUGCAUGCUGAAAUCCUUCUAACUUUCAUCUUACAUAACAGGAAGCAUAUAGUACUGUGUGAAAAUGCAGUACUGAGGUGAACUGAGCACCCAGAAUCUCUGGUGAGGGAGGUAGGGAAGGAGGGGAAGAUUAGUAAUUUGCAUCUCUAGCAUUGGUAAAUGUAAAUUGUCCUCUGCCCAAGUAUCUCUAAAUUCUGCAAGGUAGUCUAAUUAUAAAAAGUCUAAGAUUUAAUGUUUGGAGUAUGUCCAGAAUGACUGUGGAUACAAUACAAAUUUUCAUUUGUACUGUGUCUGCAGUCUAAGAAAUUGUACUACUAAAAGUAAGGAAAUACUUAACAAAAUAUUAUUAAAGGACUGUUGACGGUUGUCACAAGGGUUUU